AUUGAACGCUGGCGGCAUGCUUUACACUUGCAAGUCGAACGGUAACAGGUUAAGCUGACGAGUGGCGAACGGGUGAGUAAUGCAUCGGAACGUGCCCGGUCGUGGGGGAUAACACUUCGAAAGAAGUGCUAAUACCGCAUACGAUCUGAGGAUGAAAGCGGGGGACCGUAAGGCCUCGCGCGAUCGGAGCGGCCGAUGUCAGAUUAGGUAGUUGGUGGGGUAAAGGCCUACCAAGCCGACGGUCUGUAGCUGGGCUGAGACGACGACCAGCCACACUGGGACUGAGACACGGCCCAGACUCCUACGGGAGGCAGCAGUGGGGAAUUUUGGCCAAUGGGCGCAAGCCUGAUCCAGCAAUGCCGCGUGCAGGAAGAAGGCCUUCGGGUUGUAAACUGCUUUUGUACGGAGCGAAAAGGCUCUCUCUAAUACAGGGGGCUGAUGACGGUACCGUAAGAAUAAGCACCGGCUAACUACGCGCCAGCCGCCGCGGUAA
rnacentral:rRNA from 1 species